rnacentral:lncRNA from 1 species
UUCUGCUUUUUCUUUCUUUUACAUAUAUCUUUUGGUUUUCAAUUCUAGUGUUUAUAUUCAUUUACCAUGCAUAGAUGUAUUUUGUCACCUGCCUGGAUUAGCCAAAAACCCGGAAUUACCCUUAUCCGCUUCCGGAAUCGGAUCCGAAAUUGUAAUUGUCUUUUCACGGCAGCCAUUGUCAUUGUGUUCACAUGUUGUUUUUGUCAGUCAGAUACGAUUUUACUCGUAUUAACACAUUUUUUGUCGGCGAUUUUCUGUAUAUAGCUAGCGAUUGAACUAAAUUGACAUCGCUGUCAUGAAUAAUAAUGAUUAAAAUAAGUUUUGAGAUCGUUGAUUUGGAGACUUUGGCGAAAAGGUUUGCAAAGCUAUUUUUUAUUUUCUUUCAAGUGGAACUGAGACUACUAUAACUGUGAUAUAGUUGUCUCAGAGUGGAAGGCCCGUCGGGCGUGGCUAGUAACCAAUUCGAAAGUGGAAGGUCGCGGACCUCGGAUCACCGCUAAUUUGAACCCCUGCCUCCAAAUUGAAAAGAUACGAAUUUCGUCUUCUAAUUUGAAAUUGCCGCCAACAGCAUGAACAGUUGAACUUAUUAUAUAAUAGACUACUGACGAAGUUGUACUACGUAUUGACGACAAACAAUAUUCCUACGACUUUUGCCAUUUGGGAAAUCUUAACUACUUGUCUUAAAAGAUUUUCGGCGAUUAAAUAUUUCGUACAAUUGUUUUUUGACAUCUUAGCCAAAAGCACAGGCGAUAAUAAACUACAUAAGAAUUCCUAAUGAGCACUACUUCCUAUGUGCAACUUCAAAACUUUUGGGAAAAUCGACGACCAUUUAACGUUUUUAUGGUAAUAUUUUUUAUAUUCUAGAAUAAAAAGUAUUAAAAAAGUGUUCAAUUAGUUAUAUAUAACAUAGUAGCCAGCUAGAUAAUAUCAAUGGCAAGUAUUUCAGCAUUUUUUGGGUAGACCACAAAUCUAGGGUGCUCGCAUAAUGCAGAUUAACUGCAUAAAAAUGGUCAUUUAAAAGUUGAAAUUAGGUGCCAGGAGAUUGAGAGAAUGCAGGAAUUUGCACUAUUUAUGCCAGAGCUUCUGGGGGCCUUCAGCGGUCCCAGACCCCCUGCCGUAAGCUUGGUGGACGUCCGGCUUUGCCGAACGCAUGCUACGGCCGCCUAUAAUUUUCAUUGAGCCUUCUACUUCAAUUUCAAGGGAAAGCCCGGACUAUAAUUCUCAAUUACAAUUGUCUGGGUGGCGGGUGCUGACAAAAACUGCCUUCCAACCCUCCCAUACAUUUUUUUCUGGAAUAGCCCUCAGGAAAUUGACUGAAAAUCCUAGUCCAUUUUUAGGUCCUUUGC